UUCUUAAUUCAUACUGAAAGACCCCCAGAGCGGGGAGACCCUCACUCAAGUCAUGGGAUGACGCAACCCCCCAAGAACUCACGAGAGACC
rnacentral:pre_miRNA from 14 species